rnacentral:rRNA from 1 species
GUGGGGAAUAUUGGACAAUGGGCGAAAGCCUGAUCCAGCCAUGCCGCGUGUGUGAAGAAGGUCUUCGGAUUGUAAAGCACUUUAAGUUGGGAGGAAGGGCAGUAAGCUAAUACCUUGCUGUUUUGACGUUACCGACAGAAUAAGCACCGGCUAACUUCGUGCCAGCAGCCGCGGUAAUACGAAGGGUGCAAGCGUUAAUCGGAAUUACUGGGCGUAAAGCGCGCGUAGGUGGUUUUGUAAGUUGGAGGUGAAAUCCCCGGGCUCAACCGGGGAACUGCCUCCAAAACUGCAUGACUAGAGUACGGUAGAGGGUAGUGGAAUUUCCUGGGUAGCGGUGAAAUGCGUAGAUAUAGGAAGGAACACCAGUGGCGAAGGCGACUACCUGGACUGAUACUGACACUGAGGUGCGAAAGCGUGGGGAGCAAACAGGAUUAGAUACCCGGGUAGUCC